CUCUCUUUUUACACUGUUGGUGGGAUUUAUCAAAGUAUUUGGUUCUAAACGGGGAAUUAUUAUUUUUUUUUUAAUGUGCCUACUUAUUUCUUUGGUUUCCAUGGAAAUUGUCACACCUUGUUCUUCAGACAUACUAGAAAUGUAUCUGACAAUAAUCUGUAAAUUCCUGUCAGUCUCUACAUUUAGCUUUGAUUGACCACAUUCUUUACCAGGUGCAUUCAAUACCAGAGAAUUCUGUCACUGUUACUUGGCUUAAUUUAAAGAGUUAACCAGGGUGCAAUCCAAUCCCUGCACUGUGCCUGCCUCUGUAUUACACACUCUUUAUCACACACUCUAUAUUACACAAUAUAUCAUGUUUUUAUUUUAUUAUUAAUAGAAUAGAAAGAAAAAGAUCGUCAAAGUAACCUGAGACUUGAGGUCUCUAAUGCAGUGGAAAACCUUUGGUCUCGCAGGACCUUUGCAUAACAGCAUAAAUUAGUACAAGUAGUUGCGUAAGGGAGGCUGGUGAGUUUUGCAUGUCCUUCCAAUUUUGUGAUCAGGUAAGAUGGUUUCCAAACAUUAUUGCAUUCUAAAGGCAAUUUUAACUAAAGUAAGUAAGAAUGGGUUUGGGAACGUAAAUAGUUCCCUGUAGGUCUCUCCAGACCAGGCUUCAUCGUAGUUGCGCUUAGAAGUAGUCGUGUGAGGAAACGAUCUCUGUGUGGAAUUGGCUGGUCAUGAGGGGUAUGGACUGUCAUAAACUACGGCGUGGUAGCCGGAAAUGUGUCACUUGUGGUGCUAGGGUAUAUUUUCAUUUUCAAUUCGGGGGGGGGGGGAGACAUGUUAUUUACUAUUAAGAAGCCUUCUUGCUGAUUUUCAAGAGGAACUCUUUUUCAGCAUUUGUUUUUUCUUGGCAUAAGUAAAGGUUUUGCUGGUAAAGACCAUUGGAAUGUGCCUAAUUGCUGAAUCAAUUCUAGGUACAAACAUCAAAACCUAUUUGCUGUUUGCAGCCAUUUUAGCACAAUUUUAACCCCUUAAGGACCAAACUUCUGGAAUAAAAGGGAAUCAUCACAAAACAUCCUAGCAUGUAAUUUAAAACCAGGUGCAUGGGAGGAAGGUGCAGGUUGGCGUAGGAAUGAGAUAAACUGAAUAGGCAAUCUACCACUUCCUCUGCCAUAUUUGCAAUGAAUGGAGGAUAAUAAUACACUAAAAAGAGCCUGAGAGGGCACCCCAGUGAGGUGGGGUGGAGAGUAAUAUAACAGGGCAUGGGGUCGCCAAGCCCGCUAUUCCACUAAUAAUGGGACAAAUGGCUUCGUAGUCAAUAGGUCCUUAUACAUAUAGGGCCAGAAGCUUCCAAAUCCACUCUUUAUAAUAAUAAAAAAAUCCCCCUUAUGUCAAAUUGGACUAUGGAAUGCCUUGUUCCAGGUCAUUCUGAGUUAAACUUCUCCUUCCAACCCUUUCCAAGUAGUUAGGAUUCCACAAGCCCCUAGCCAUCUAUUCCUCAUACUAUUCCUCAAAGCUUGACUUGUUUUUCGUCAACCAAAAAUAAGUGAAAGAAAAAAUGAAUUGUGACAAGUAAAAUGAACUGUGUUGAGCACUAGUAAAUAAGCUAACUGCUUUUGAGACAAUUCUGUGUGGUAUAUAUUAUCUAAUUCAGAGGUUCUUAACCUUUUUCACAGGUUCCUAAAAAAAAAAUUCAUGGCAUCCACUUAGAAACCUAUUCUUCAAUUCAAAAUUUAUGACAUUAUCCAUACUAUUAAUUCUGCAAAACAUUUUUAUUACAUUAUUCACAGUGUCAUAAAUGUUUCUAUUGCAUUGGGUAGGAAGUGCUGAUACAGCAACCAAUUUAUUAAGGACACUUGAUAGGGACCAACUAAAAAAGAAAUGUGGCACAAAUUUGGACUUAACACGUGGCUUAAUAACCAUUGUAGUCUAAAAUGACCCAUGUCCUUAACAUUGUAGGUUUCAAUUUGACCUAUCUAGAUGAUAAACCAUAUAUAUGUAAUAUACCGCACAAUCCAUCUAUAAAUAAUUAGAAUAUAGGUGUAGGAUUUAGACAAUUCCACCCCACAAGAAAUUGCCAAAGGAUAAAAUCAUACAAAAUUGAUAAUAGAAUCCGCUCACAAAAUGGUAGUUUGCUUUAUUCAAAUAUAAAUUUGAGCCUUUUUUCUUUACUCUUUGUCUUAUGACUUAUAACUAUAAUGUUAAUGACAUAUUAUCAAUGUCAGUGAAUGAUACAUAAAAAAAAAAAAAAAACUGUCUAUGUUAGUCAGUGGUGUCAGUGUUAGUCAAUAUUGUCAAAUACAAGUAGCUGAGCCACAGCUCUAAAAAAAAAACUGUUUUACAAAAAAAGUAAAAAACAGUAAAACAGUAAAAGAUCACUUACAACAAAAUUUCUUCCUUAACAGGCACAUGUGAGUAUAUGAUUAUAUUUCGAACUGAUAUUGUUGCAAUACUGUACACAGAUGUCACACUACCUGUAUUUUCUGAGUUCCGAUGAACACCCACUCAUCCCUAGCUUCCUGGUGCAUCAUCAUGACAUCAUAUAUGACUUGGAACCCUCUCAUUAGUCUCCUUUUAUAGUAUCAGCCUAUCAGAAUCCAUUUUCAAAUGGAUGAAAGGAUAUUUUUCUUUUAAAUGUGUGUUUGAUCAUCUUCUAAUGCAAACAAAUCUACGUGGCUGAUAGCAUCCAAACACCUGUCCAGCAGAAGACUUGCUAAGUUGCAUUUAGUGGAUGAUGUGGAGAGACCUCUAUAUCUGUAGUUAGUUCCUAUGUCUGAUGAGCACCAAGGUAUCAGUUGAACCAAUCUUCUGUUUUCACUCCCAAUUCAUAGCUUCCUACUGCAGCAAAUUGUUCCAAUAUCUAUUAUUAUUAUUAUCAUCGUCACUAUAAGCAUACUCAAGAGAUGCAUUUUGUUGUUUCCUUUGCUCUGAUCCAUAAACUGGCCAAAAUCACACCAUGAGUAAUCGUGCUGUAUUGUUUCACGACCAUGUAUUGAAUCUUGUGUGUGUAGUGAAAUCUUGUUCAGACUUAUUCUGUGUGAACAGAUCACAUUAUGUUUUAUGCAUUGAUGCUGAGAAUAGAACCUUGAACACUAGAAACCAACUUUAAAUUGACCCCAAACUACGUCAAAUUCUCUAUAUGUGCAUAUGUAGCUAAUAUCAGUGGAGCUAAAUAUAGUCAAAUAAAAAAAUGCCAAAUUUCCUUAAAAUGCUAAAUUAUUAACUAUUUAUUCUUGCAAUUUACUAAUGCUGAAUGUUACUGUACCUAAAUGUAAUCAAUUUUAUGGCGUCACAGACUCAAUACUCUUGUGAUCAUAACAGAAAUAUCUUUGUAACUCUGUAUAACACCUUUUCGCAUGAUCUUUGUCUGUUUCCUGUUGUUCACAUGAAAUAAAU